CCACCGGGGCCUGGGCCGGUUCUCAGGGGCGGGGGCCGGGGCUAGGCUGGCUCGCAGCUUGCCGCGCGGGGGACGCAGUCCUGAGCCCGGCUCCUCCGCGGCGGUGCUGCCGCCAUCGGCCGCCCCACUGCAGGUGACAUCUCAGGGCCCCUUCGGCGUCACCUUGCCCCGUCGCUUUGCUGGGAGGGUGGAGAGGGAGUGUGGGGGUGAGAUAAGAAAGGAACCCGUCCCAAACCGUAAGGAGCAGCUGAUGCAGGCGUGUGGAAACUCAGUCACUGACGGGCAGGGAAGAGGGGACAUGGGCUUCCAAAUGCAGCAGUGGUUAAUCAGCAAUCUCUCUCUAAAUAUUUUACGUGAGACAGAAGUGUGCUACUGCUCUUCUACUUAUCACUGCUGCUACAAGGCAUUAGUGAAGACCAGAGAGGAGUAGAGGUAUCUCCAAUUCCCCACAGAAUUUCCUUUUUCAGCUGUAUGGAUUGUUGCUUGGAGGCCCUCGUGUUUGCUAACUCAGAUGCUCCCCCCUUCAGCUUCAUAAAAAGACUCUCAGUAUCUGCGUCUUUUCCUUGGCAAAAUCCUAGGAGCACAGCUGAUAACACGAAGAUCCUGGAGCUGAGCAUCUGCUAUUUGAGAUGCAUCCAUGCACCACAGUACACAGAAGUACUUUCCCUCUCCUUAUUUUAUGGCCCAGCUCCAUGAACUGCUGAGAGAAGACAGACGUUGCUCAGUGAGACUCUUCACUUCUUGCCUUAUCUGUGUUUUCCUACUCUAUCCAAAUUUCAAAAUUUACAAAAUAAAAAAAGAAGAAAAAAAUGUAACCACAGAAAAGGAGAUGCGGCAUUUUUCACUUACUCCUCCUAAUUAAGACAGAGUUUACCAGACAGAUUCUGCACUGAUGUAAAGCAUCUUGGUCCAAAAUGUUCUUGUUCACCAUGGAAAGAUUAAUAAGAGUCUAUUGCAGAGAUCUGAAGAAAUUUUUAAAUACCUGUUUUUCCUAUACAGUCAGCUGUCCAAAGUUGAAAAGAGUAUGUGAGUUGAUAAGGAGAGGCAGGGGUGGUCUGGGGUUUGGGUUUUUUCCCCAGAUCUGUUACAGAAACAGGAAAUCGAAUGGGUGGAAAACUGCUGUCAUCAAUGCUGCCCUUCCUCUGCUGAUGGAGAAUAACCAUACCCAGGUUUUGGUCCUGACUUGCUGGGAGUGUGUGCUGUACACCCCGGAUAAAAGGAUUUAUCAUGAAGGGACACUCUACUGGGAGAGCUGGUGUAGAUAGCUCAGUUUGAGAACAUGUAGGCUUCAUCUGCAGUGUGAACUUAGGAAUCUUCAGAGACAAUAAUGUGGCUGAACUGACAGCUAGAUUUUAGGUUGCAGAGGAACCUGCUACAUCUGAAGGGGGAACUAGUUUUGCUUGCAGCAGACUGUUCUGUAUCUGAGCCCUAUCCUCAUUAAGCUCAAGAAUCCUUGAGUCACCCAAAAUCUAGAGAAAAGAAAAAUCCCAAAUGUCUGAGAAAGAAGAGGGCACAGCCUGUGUCCUUGGGUCUAGAAGGCUUCUAAAGGCAUAUCCACUCAUUUGACUGAAAAGUGGAAGGUGUGGCUGUUUCUGGUUAGAGAAAGCCUUUGAGUCAUACAAAUCCAGCAGUUUAAUGAUUUGAUCAACAAUCAGGAGAGAUUGAAUGUCUGAAAAAACAUCCAGACACAAAGGUUGAUGACGUUUAUCUGGUCUUGGACUUCCACCUACCCUGUGUCGGUUACUCAUGGGAAUAUCAAUAAGAGAAGGAGAGUCCGUGUUCCCAGAGAGAGUUCCUGUUUGCAAUAUGCUCUCUUCUUUCCAAGUGCUUCAUAAAACGAUUGCCUCAACCCAGUACUAAUGGAUUAUAGAUUAAGCAGAAAUGAAAGGGCACAGGACUGUUCUUUCAUAUUGUCUCCCAAUUUAUCUUGCUUAAGCAAUAGAUAAUAAUUGACAGAAGCAAUUGAAGAGUCACAGUCUGAUUUGCUUUUAUCACUAGAAGUCUGCACUAUGUUUAUGUUAUCUUUUGUUUAGGGAGGCGGUUCUAUGAUCAUCUGGGGUUUGGGGCAGAAUCAUUAUGUUCUUACUGACAUUCCAAUGGACAGUUGCAAGUUGGCCCCACUGCAGUUCUCUGGAAUGGAUUUCAGUGCAGUACCUCUGAGGAGGGGCAAAGUGACUUUUAACCUCAGAGCUCUAAAUUCAAGGUUCUGUUUGAUUAUAUUCUUUUACUGUUUGUUUAACUUUAGUAUUCAUCUAACAAAAUGGGAUAAAUACCUUUGUGUCAGCAUAAACUAUCUUGGGAUACUUAAAAAGUGCAAAGUCCAUGCAUAAAACAUUUGAAAAGUUUUUUUUUUCCAUUAAAGAAAAGGCAUCCAG